rnacentral:piRNA from 1 species
UUUUAAUAUUCAGACUGUAUCCAC